rnacentral:rRNA from 1 species
AUGAACGCUGGCGGCGUGCCUAAUCCCUGCAAGUCGCGCGAACAGACGAGGAGCUUGCUCCUCUGACGUUAGCGGCGGACGGGUGAGUAACACGUGGAUAACCUACCUAUAAGACUGGGAUAACUUCGGGAAACCGGAGCUAAUACCGGAUAAUAUAUUGAACCGCAUGGUUCAAUAGUGAAAGACGGUUUUGCUGUCACUUAUAGAUGGAUCCGCGCCGCAUUAGCUAGUUGGUAAGGUAACGGCUUACCAAGGCAACGAUGCGUAGCCGACCUGAGAGGGUGAUCGGCCACACUGGAACUGAGACACGGUCCAGACUCCUACGGGAGGCAGCAGUAGGGAAUCUUCCGCAAUGGGCGAAAGCCUGACGGAGCAACGCCGCGUGAGUGAUGAAGGUCUUCGGAUCGUAAAACUCUGUUAUUAGGGAAGAACAAAUGUGUAAGUAACUAUGCACGUCUUGACGGUACCUAAUCAGAAAGCCACGGCUAACUACGUG